GAUGAUCAACUUUACUCAAUAUAUGAUAUCAAUUAAUAAUGAGUGACCUAUAAAACCAUUUACAUUUGUUGAACAUGGAUUUAAACAUGAGUAGGAUAAUAAAAGGACCUAAAAUAAAUUGCUGAUAAUUAACAAUGAAACGAACAAACAUGCCACACAUCAAUCAUAAUUAUACUUUUAACACGGUAACACCUAGCAAUCUUAUGAACCAAUUUCUAAGUGAGCAUUUUAAGGCCAUUACACGUUAAUUGCAGCAGCUCUAACAAACUAGUAUACCUCAAUACUAUUACUUUAUUUUGAUGGUAAGCAACUCUCACUUCCAACCGAAAGGUUGUGAGUUCGAGUCUCCCAAGAGCAAGGUGGGAAGUUCUUGGAGGNNNNNNNNNNNNNNNNNNNNNNNNNNNNNNNNNNNNNNNNNNNNNNNNNNNNNNNNNNNNNNNNNNNNNNNNNNNNNNNNNNNNNNNNNNNNNNNNNNNNNNNNNNNNNNNNNNNNNNNNNNNNNNNNNNNNNNNNNNNNNNNNNNNNNNNNNNNNNNNNNNNNNNNNNNNNNNNNNNNNNNNNNNNNNNNNNNNNNNNNNNNNNNNNNNNNNNNNNNNNNNNNNNNNNNNNNNNNNNNNNNNNNNNNNNNNNNNNNNNNNNNNNNNNNNNNNNNNNNNNNNNNNNNNNNNNNNNNNNNNNNNNNNNNNNNNNNNNNNNNNNNNNNNNNNNNNNNNNNNNNNNNNNNNNNNNNNNNNNNNNNNNNNNNNNNNNNNNNNNNNNNNNNNNNNNNNNNNNNNNNNNNNNUGGGGUAAGGUCUGUGUACACACUACCCUCCCCAGACCCACUAAGUGAGAUUAUACUGGGUUGUUGUUAUUCCCAAUUUUAACGUAAAGUAUGGCAAUAUGGACAGCAGCAUCAAAUUAACUUGGCCGAACAUUACUAGAUAUAAAAAUCGGGUGAUUCAUGGUUAAGAUCAAAUUAGUUCACGGUCCUUUACAAAACAAGUCCAACGGUCCUAAGUAAUACAAUUUUAGAAUAUGCAAUCCAAAAGCUUUUCAUUUAAUUACAAAAGAGGUCCAAGCAAUCCUAAUUAAUACAAAUAGUCCUAUCUAAUAUCAAUACAUAUUUGUCCAAAUGAAACUACAAUUACAUAUUAAAAUAGUAAUUAAACAUAGAGACAAAGUCAUGGAGUACAAUGCUUCACUAUUUGAUCUCACAAGUGUUCAUGUACAUUAGAGAGUAGACCAACAGUGUACCUGGAGUUUGAAACACAAUUAAAAGGAGCAGAAGUCAGCAGCAAUUGGCAACAAUCAGCAGGAUCAGUCAGCAAUAGUGAGCCUGAAAUCACACAACAACACAGAAACAGCAAUAGUGAGCCCGAAAUCACACAACAACACAGAAAUAGAUCCAAUAGUAGAAGGAGAAAUUCUAAACCAAGCAGAAAUCAACAGAUCUACUAGAAAAAAACAACUUGUAUGAACCCAAAUAAGCUUGAGAUUGAACACAACAACUCCAUAAAGUUCUUAGCAAAUAGGAGCACCCAAAAAAACUUGAAUGAAUCCCAAAAUGACUUAAAAUUGAGUUCAGAACACUAGGGAUCUAGAUUAACCAACUAAAGUAUAAACAACACUUGAAUGUAACUGAAUAUUUUGGGAUUUUUCUACUGUAAUUUCAUUUGUUUUUGGAUUUAUGCAGAAAACUACGAUCUAAAGAAGGUUUAGAAUUAGAUCACUUCAAAUUUGAACCUUCUGGGAUUUUGAAAUUCAAAUUUAAAAUUGAGACUUGAAGAAAAAGAUUUUGGAAGGGGAAAUUAAGAGCUGGAGAGUUGUUAGGAAUUUUCAGAUGUUCAAAAACAUGUUCAUGAACGCAGUAGGCCUGUCUUUUAUAGGCAAGAAAAAGGGCAGAAUAUUCUGGACUCAUUCCUCAUUCCACCCUCNNNNNNNNNNNNNNNNNNNNNNNNNNNNNNNNNNNNNNNNNNNNNNNNNNNNNNNNNNNNNNNNNNNNNNNNNNNNNNNNNNNNNNNNNNNNNNNNNNNNNNNNNNNNNNNNNNNNNNNNNNNNNNNNNNNNNNNNNNNNNNNNNNNNNNNNNNNNNNNNNNNNNNNNNNNNNNNNNNNNNNNNNNNNNNNNNNNNNNNNNNNNNNNNNNNNNNNNNNNNNNNNNNNNNNNNNNNCCCCCCCCCCCCCCCCCCUUUUAUUUCAGAAUUUAGUAAUUAAUCUCUGAAUUUGUGGCUUGUUGCCUAAGUUAUUGCAUUAAGAAUGCAGAAACUUACACUAAGACCCCCUUGUACAUGGACCUAGGGUCUUCUAGCUUUGUUUUCUACCUAUGGAAUACCUAUACUACCCCCAUUUGUUUUUCCGGAAUUGCUUAGCCUUAACAAACUGAGCCAUUUCCAAUGCCCAAACUACCCUUGAAUAAUCCUAAACUUACUAACCCUAGUAUGAAAUUGUAACUCCCAAGCCCUUUUACCUUAGUUACAUUUAACUAUGGUUAAUUCAGGACUAGAUUAUUCAGCUAUAUCCAACCAACUAACCUAGCCUAAAUAGCUUAAUGAACUAAGGAAUUACCAAUAAUGAUUACUGAUUAAACCAAACUAAACUAAAUUAAACUAAUUAAAACUAACAAAUUAAACACUAAAAAAAUAAAAAUCAAAUAAUACCUAAACAUAAUGGACUAAAACAUAUAAUAGCAAUGAAAACUAAAUUGAAACAAAACACGUAUAAAAAAAAUUAAAAUAACACCUAAAAUUACUAAGGAAUGAUUUAAACAAAUCAAAAAAAUUAAACUAAAAGAUAAAAAACAAUUACAAGAGCAGAAUUGAACCAAAAUAAAAAACAGAACCACACGAAAAUUUACUGAUUUUUGUUCUUCAACUUGAUUGAUUUUCGGAAUUGAUUUUUAAUUAAUAUUAUAUGUUUCUUUUGUCAAAAUAAAACCUAUAACAUUAAUUAAAAAUUAUCCGAAUUCUGAAAACUCCAAAAGAAGUUAAAAUUUAAUUUCAAAACCCUAGCUCUAAAAUUAAUGGGGUUUCAUUUGGAUUUGAAGAGUUCCAGAUUGGGAUUUAGGAAGAGAAAUGUUAGGGGAAUAUAGGGUGUGAAUGUUGUUGAACUUUGAAUAGUUAACGCUUUGGCUGGACUUUCGAUCUAAUAUUCGAGAAGAUUGGUUAUGAUUUGAGGGAUAUAGUUUUGGGGGCUAGAAAGAGGAGGGAGAGGAUUGACUGGUGUAAUUUUUGGCGGAUUUGGAGCAUCGUCGCCGGCAGAGGCGAUUUUAGACCGGCGCAGGACGACGGAGGACGGUAGAGGCACGGUGGGGACAGUGGUGACCGGGGUGGACGACUGUGAGUACGAGGAAGAUGGAGGGUUGUCUCUAUAAUUUGUAUAGUGUUAUUGCACUUUAAUAUAAAAUGAAGGACUAAAUCUGGACCAUUGGAUUUGGGAGUAUGGACGGUCAAGAUUAGUUAAUGCCAAAAUAGUGUCGUUUUGUAAUCUGGGAUUAGACCGGGUUAGGGAAUGAGUUUGGAUCGUUCAGGGUAAGAUUGGGGGGGGAGGGUGGUUGAUUGGGCUUGAAUUUUAUGGCCCAAAAAGUAGAUGGCCUAGAUAAUUUUUCAUUUGUUUUUCUUUUCCUUCUUUUCUUUUGUAUUCUAAUUUAUUUAUUUCUUUGCAAAAUUAAUGAAACCAAAUUUAACUCAAAAAUUAGACCAAUUAAUUUUCUAAAAUAGAAUAAACCCUAGUUAAAAAGUUAACUAAACAAAAAAUGCAACAAGUGACUAUUUUUUAUAAUUUUCUUCUAUUUUUGACAUUAGUUAAAAAAUAAAAAAUUUGAUUCUAAAUUCAAGUAUGCUAGUUUUGUAUUUUUCAUGAGUUAUGUCAAUAAAAAUGCACAAAACGCAAACAAUCACGAAAUCAUCCAAUUAAUUCCCUAAAAUUCAUAUGAUAAAAUAAAAAUUCUGAUUCUAAUGAAUUUAUAGGAGUAAUUUAAGUGUGGUAAAAAUCGCGUGCUCACAACUGUCCCUCUUUGCUUGAAGACACGAAGGGUUUUUGGGCAAAGAUAAAUGAGCAACAUUAAGGAUUUUUGCCUGCUCAUCUCUCUAGGAGAAGCAUUUUGAAAACUGUCUGACCAAACCCCGCUUCAAAAGUUUCCUACAUAUGCUUCGCUAUAAAGGAAUCAGGUUAGUGUAGUUCUGGAAAGUUCGGUAGCUGGGACUACGAGGAGCUGUGAUUUCGCUAAUGUUGCUGCUGCUACUUCUUGCUGACCUCCUUAUUAUACCAAAAGGAAAAUGAAAGGUAAGCUAGCUAUGCCUAUCAACUAUGAGUUACAAGAUUCCUAUCUAUAAUUCUCUUGAAACUUGAUCUUGAGUCUUAGCUAAUUUUGAUGUGGACUUCGAUCUGAAUCUUGAUGGUCGCAAGUUGUAGGUGUUUACUUUUUCAUGCAGCAUUGGGUCAAAACAGGACCAAUGAAACUUGUGAUUUCAAUCAGAUUUUGAGCAAUCUAGCUUGCUUCACAUUUAUAUUCAUUUCUUUUGUUCUUUUCUUAAUUCUAGAUUGAGAUUCAUUCCUUUGGUCACCUUGCACUUUAUGUCUUAAUGUCGACCUGCUUAAGAUACCAAAAUAAACAAACGACAAAAUUUUUCUGCCCCAAUUUUCACUAGGAAAGUUUCGUGAGUUAGUUAUGACACAUAUCUUAGCAGUCAAAUUAGGAUUGUGUAUUCUUAUGAAUAAAUACAAUUUAUGAUGGUAAAUUACUGGGUUAAAAGAAGAAAAGUUCCUCGGGCUCUGCCGGGAUUUGAAAAGAAAAAGUUCCUUGGGUUAUGCCAGGGAGAUCCUCAAUUUUUUUUCCAGGAUUUAUAAAGAAAAGGCAGCAUGGACUAUGCCAGGGAGAUCCUUGGUUUUUUGGCCGGGAUUUGGAAAGUAAAAGCUCAUAGGGUUGUGCAAGGGAGAUCCUCAGUUUUUUGGCUGGGAUUUGGAAAGAAAAAGCUCCUUGGUAUAUCCUAGGGAGAUCCUCAAUUUUUUGGCCAGGAUUUGGAAAGAAAAAGCUCCAUGGGUUAUUCCUGGGAGAUCCUCGGUUUUUUAGCUGGGACUUGGACAGAAAAAGCUCUUUAGGUUAUGCCAGAGAGAUCCUCGGCUUUUUGGUCGGGAUUUGGAAAGAAAAAGCUCCUUGGCUUCUGCUAGGAAGAUCCUCGAUUUAUUGGUCGGGAUUUGAAAAGAAAUAGAUCCUUGGGUUAUACCAGGGAGAUCCUUAGUUUUUUUGCCGGGAUCUGGAAAGAAAAACCUCUUUGGGUUAUGCAGGGAGAUCAUCGGUUGUUUGGCCGGCAUUUGGAAAGAAAAAGUUCAUAUGCUACUUUGAUUUGUUUUUCUUUUCGGCUUUUCAUUUUCAUUUCUUUUCUUCUUCUUCUUCUUCAUUUUCUUCUUUUUUUGUUUUUUGAUAUUUUCCUUUAUAUUUAGCAAAACACUUGAAAUAAUUUUGGGGAAACUUGCUUUUUGGUCAUUUUACUACUGCAAAGUUGUUUCAGCGCUUGCGCAUUUCAUUUUUUUUGGGCUGCACCUGCUUCAUGAAUGGUUGCUCUGAAUAAGACCUAUUUUCAACAAAGAACAAUUUGUUAGUUUGAAACAGUUGGUUUUGUGGCCUUGAUCAUCCCAAUUUCUUGAUCCGAGACCCUUUUCUGUUGAGAACUUUGUUGCUUGUUGGCCUUGGGAGUGAAUCUCUCUUAAAACUGACCAGGUUCAACUCUCGAGGUUUCAUUAUGACUCACCUGUGUGGGCUCUGGCCUCUUCACUUUAUUCUGCCCUUUCCUGUGAUUUUCUUUCUUUCCUAAUGUGUUUGCUUCGAAAGCAUCAACCAUUAUGAAUAGUCGGGAUUGACCUAACGCACUCGCUGAGGCUGGACAUUUCUUCGACUCUGACCAGGUAGAGCCUUGUGAAGCUAGUCCUGCCUCUUUGUAAUAGUUAUGGAAUUAGAGUUAAACGGAAAGUGAUUCAAAGAAGAGUAUGCAGAAAGGAAAGCAUAUGAGUUUUAAAGAGAUGCGUCCCUUUCGUGGAAAAUAAGGACUUAUCUAGGGUGUAUACUAGUUUCAAAUGAACAUGACAUGCUUCUUGGACUGGAUGCCCUACCCACACAAACUUUCCAAAUUUUCGGAAUCUCAUUGAUCUGCAUUUCACAACCAGGGAACCUUGCCAGGACUCUUUUAGUGGCGAGAUGUCUUCUUUUAUGCCAACAUCGCCCUUUAUGGAUUUUCGCUAAUCGACCAAUCUCAUUUCUCUUCUCACCAUCGCGCGAUAGUUCUCUUUAUGAUUUUUAGUAAGCGGACUCUCAAAUUUUGUAUUUCUCCACUUACCGUCGCCAUAUGGUGCCCGAAAGUUUUCACUGAUAAGACUCUCUCAUAUUAUUUCUCUCAAUUAUAAUUAUAUCAGAUUCCAACAAUGAUGUGUUUCACUUCCCCAAUUUUGCCAAUUGAUCGGAAGGUCUUGGACAAGGUCUUUGGGGGGGGGGGGGUACAAGGAUUUUGGGCAAAACUACAACUUUGUAACCGUUUCGGCGGAUUCAUAGUCGAACCAUCAUAUCAUCUGCCCAGUUUUAAUUUUUUGAGAAAUUGAGAUUUUUGUUUUGGUUUGACUGAACCUCAGGGAGAGGCUGCAUAUGUAUCCUUUCGGAAUCAAGUCAAAAGUAGUUCAAGCAAAUAAUUUUUGUUUUUGUUUCGUUUUUCUUUACUUUUCUUUUAUUUUUCUUUUUUUCUUUUCUUUUUCUUUUCUUUUAUUCUCUUUUAAUUUUCUUUUUGUACUUCCGGGUUCCAAAGAGGGUAGCCAAAGAAACGGAACCGGCUCAAAGGGUUCAUAAAGGAUUGAUAGUGUUUGGGGUAGAGGGAAGGAAAGCCUUCGUCAUCUCAAUUACACAAAAGCCAUCUAAUCAGGAAGCCUAGACAUAAUAUCUUUUGACUACAUCUGCAUUGACUGCUCUUUCAGGGUUAUUUCCUUCGAUGUCUCCAAAAUACAGUGCUCCUCUUGGCAAUAUCUUUCGGAUAUGUAUGGACCAUUCAAAUUAGGACCAAUCUUUCCUUUUACUUCCAGGUAAUGAGGGAGAAUGCAUCUAAGCACGAGCUGUACCACUUCAAAAUUCCCGGGAUGCACUUUUUUGUUUUAGGCGCGAGUCAUUCUUUAUUUAAACAACUACCCUGACAAACUGCGGACAUCCAAUUUUCAUCAAUUAAUGACAAAUGCUCCAGCCGAAUAUUAACCCACUCACUGUUCUCAAUUUAUGCUUCAAUGAUUGUGAGAAACGAAGGGAUUUCUACUUCUGCAGGUAUAAUUUCUUCAGUUCUGUAAACUAACAAAUACAUGGUCACUCUGAUUGAUAUACGCACUGUGGUACGAUACCCGAGUAAUGUGAAAGACAACUUUUCAUUCCAUUUCCUGGAGCUUUUAAUCAUCUUUCUCAAAAUCUUCUUGAUAUUCUUAUUUGUUGCUUCGACUACAUCAUUGGAUUUUGGCUGAUAAGGUGUAGAGUUUCUAUGUGUUAUAUAGAAUUGUUCACAUACCUUUUUCAUCUGACGACUGUUCUUAUUUGCAGCAUUGUCAGUAAUGAUUGUUGCAGGAAUGCCAAAGCAGUAAAUGAUAUUGGAGUGCACGAAGUCUACCACAGCCUUCUUGGUAACUGACUUAAGAGUGACGGUCUCAACCCAUUUUGUGAAGUAAUUGAUUGCAACCAAUAUAAAUCUAUGUCCAUUUGAAGCAUUGAGCUCGAUUGGCCCAAUGACAUCCAUACCCUAAGCAACAAAUGGCCAAGGUGCUAACAUUAGAUGAAUCUCUGUUGGAGGUGUAUGAAUAUAAUCACCCUGCAACUGACAUUGAUGCCAUUUCCAAACAAAACUGAAGCAAUUCUUUUCCAUGGUAUCAAGUCAUACCCCGCUCGCAGAAUUUUCUUUGCCAACACAUAACCAUUCAUAUGAGGUCCGCAUACUCCUUCGUGUACUUUAUGUGUAGUUCUUCCGGCCUCUUCGGCGUCAAGACAUCUUAAUAAAUUGCGGUCUGAGGUUCUUUUCUACAAAACAUCACCUUAUUAAGAAGAAACCACUCGCAUGCCGUCUAAUGGUUCUCUUUUUAUCUCCAAUGGAUUGCUCGGGGUAUUCUUGUAUUUUUAGAAGUCUUUUGAUAUCAUGAUACUAGAGUUAAAUGCUGGGUGCCGUCUCGACCGUAUUGCAAUACCCGUGAUUUUCUUUGAAUUGAAUCUCCAGAGGGUCAAUAUAGGCAUUACUCGGGUAAGGCAGCAUUGAAGCUAAAGUGGCAAGUUCAUUGGUUAGUUCAUUGUGACACCGAGGGAUGUACUUGAACUCUAUCGACUUGAAGCGUUUGGUGAGAUCUUCCAUGUAUUGCUGAUAGGGAAUAAGUUUAAUAUCUCGAGUCUCCCAUUCUCCCUGGGUUUGCUGGAUAAUUAAAUUAGAGUCCCCCAUGAUCAAUAAAUCUUCAACAUCUUGAUCAAUCUCUAUAUUUAUGCCCGUGAUAGAAGCUUCAUACUCGGCGGUAUUGUUUGUGCAGAAGAAUCGGAGGCUAGCUGUAGCAGUGUAAUUUUGACCAUUGGGUGAUAUCAAGAUUGCCCCAAUUCCUACACCUCUAGAAUUUACUGCUCUAUUGAAGAACAUUUUCCAAGCACGAGUGUCCUCCGAGAUCGCUUCUACUUAAUUUAUUUUUUCAUCUAGUAAGUAUGUGCUCAAUGGUUUGUAUUCCUCAUCAAUCGGGUUUUUUCUAAAUGAUCUGCCAAUGCUUGGGCUUUCAUUUCUGUGCAAGUGACAUAGACUAUGUAGAAUUCAGUGAGCAAGAUUUUCCAUUUUCCCAGUCUCCCUGUGGGCAUCAGUUUCUGGAAUAUGUACUUCGAAGUAUCCAACCUGGUAAUAAGGUAGGUAGUAUGGGCUUAAAGACAAUGCCUCAACUUUUGAGCGACCCACGUCAAAGCACAACACGUUCUCUCCAACAAAGUAUAUUUCGCUUCGUAGCAGGUGAACUUCUUUCUCAGAUAAUAAAUUGCCCGCUCUUUCUUGCCGGUUAUAUCAUGCUUCGCGAGGACACAGCCAAACAAAUUUUCCAGAACCGUCAGAUACAAGAAGAGGGGUCUCCAUGUCUCCAAUGAGACUAACGCUAGAGGAUUUGACAAAUAUUCCUUGAUCCUGUCGAAAGCCUCCUGACAUUCAGACGUCAAUUUGAUUGCCACAUCUUUCUUCAACAGUUUGAAUAUGGCUCACAUGUGGUAGUAUGUUGCGAUGAACUGACCGACAUAGUUUAACCUACACAAUAAGCUCAUCACAUCCUUCUUAGUUUUCGGAGGAGGUAAAUCUCAAAUUGAAUUUAUCUUGUUGGAUCUAACUUGAUACCUCUCAUACUGACUAUAAAAUCCAGGAGCUUACCUGAUGGGACCCCGAAGGCACAUGUAGCCGGAUUCAGCAUCAAAUCAUACUUACACAGCCGUUCAAAGAACUUUCUGAAAUCUCUAACGUUGUCACUCUGAGCUCGGGACUUAAUGAUUAUAUGAUCCACAAUCACCUCUAUCUCCUGGUGGAUCAUAUCAUGGAAAAGUGCAGUCAAGACUCUCAUGUAGGUUGCCCUGGCAUUAUUCAACCAAAUGGCAUGACCUAAUAAUAGUAGGUACCCCAAGGUGUAUUGAAGCUAUCUUCUCGGCAUCUUCUUCAUCCAUCAACACCUGGUGAUAUCCUGCGCAACAAUCUACCAAGGACUGUAUUUCAUGUUUGGUGCAGUUAUUAACAAGGAUGUGGAUGUUAGGCAAAGGGAAAUUUUAUUUGGAACUUGCCCUAUUCAAAUCUUACACACACACCCGGGUUUGUUUGUCCUUCUUUGGUACUGGAACCACAUUGGCUUGCCAUGUAGUAUAUGGGACCACUUGGAUUUCCCCCGCCAGCUGUUUUGUGAUUUCAUCUUUGAUCUUAUCACUGAUAUCUGUCAUAAACUUUGUUUGCUUUUGCUGAACUAGAGGACAAUCGGGGUAAAUUGGCAAUUUGUGUACCACUAGAUCUACACUCAGUCCUAGCAUGUCAUCAUACGACCAAGCAAACGCAUCUUUAAUCUCAAUCAAGAGUUGGAUUAUUGCAUCUCGAGUUUUCUCAUCUGUGUGAAUGCUUAUUUUGGUUUCUCUUAUUUCUUUGGUUGUUCCCAAAUUAACCGGUUCAGUGUCAUUAAGAUUUGGCUUAUGUUUGUUCUAAAUUUGUUCCAAUUCUCGGUUUAUUUCCCUAAAAGCCUCUUCUUUAUCAUAUUCUGGUUCUUGAUUCAUUAUUUCGAAGUUAGACAGAAGGAUUGAGUCUAGACAUGAAGUCCACAAGCAUGUCAUGUUAUUUAAAGCUGCAUUAUUAUGACCAAGAAGAAAGUAGGAAAAGGAAAAAUAACAAAAAUCAGAAAGAAUAAAGAGAAAAAUGGACGAUGAAAUAUUGAUUUCAUUUCUUUGAGUUCGAUAGGAUAACUGGGUUUACAUCUAGGAAUUUAAGAGAUAAGAAUCUAAAAGAAAAAUCCGAGUUACACCCUAGAAUAACCCGACAUGCAGAAAAGGUGACAGGGCUAGUCUACCGGGACUCCCGCCUGAUCGUUAAUGGCGUAACCUUCCAAUUUUGGAAUUUAGCAUCUGGUCCCUUGUAGAACACCUCAGUAGUGCUAGUACCUUCCCCUGACUGAACCAUGUUAGUUUUAUAAAGCAUUUGCCUCAAAGCUCCACAUAUAUCUUAAAUUUCUUCAGCGGUCAAGGCCUUAUCAUCUUCUUUCUCACUGUAUUUUUGCUAGACAAAGGUCUGAUAAAGAUGUCGCAAUGGCUGUGGCAAGACCCAUCCUUCAUUUUUUCUCUCAUCUACCCAAUUUUCAUCGUCUGGGGUAGGAUGAAGCUUAACCUGAAGAAUUUUUUUGUUGUGGGUAGGGUUAUUGUCUUCGGUAUUUCUUGUAGAGCUUUUCCCUAUCGUUUUCCUGGAUGAAAACUGUGUUUGAUCAUUUCUUUUGCCAUUAUGAUCGAAGCAUUAGAUAGAAAAGGUUGGGGCCAAAGGGCUCCCUCCUCGUACCAAUCCGCCACCAUAACUUCAAAAGCUUGAUGAAUAAUAUGUUCGCUUUCCUCUCUCACCUCCAAACAUGGGAUAGAUGGGUGCCGCUAAAUAGACUGCUCGUCUUCUCCGAGGACCAUGUUUUCCUAAUCUUUAUAAUCGAAUUUCACCAUUUGGUGGAGAGUAGAGGGUAUAGCCCCCGCAACAUGGAUUCAAGGCCUUCCCAGAAUAAAGUUGUAAGAUGUAUCCAUAUAUAACACCUGGAAAGUCACCUCGAACCCCACUGGGACUACGGUUAAUAUCAGAUCUAUUUCUCCGAUAGUAUCCCUUUUAAUGCCAUAAAAGGCUUUUACACAGACUCUAUGGGGAUCAUUCCUUCAAGUCCCGAUUACCAUUCUCUGCAGUGUGGAGAGUGGGCAAAUAUCACCCCGAGCCUCCAUCAAUCAUAACUCGCUAGAUAUAAUAACCUUCACACUUGAUAGUUAGAUGUAAGGCUUUGUUGUGAGCCGCUCCCUAUGGAGGCAAGUCAUUUUUAUUAAAGGAUAUUUGAUUGACAAUAAAGAACCUUUAUGCCAUUCUUUCGAUUUUGUUUGACCGAGGAUUCAAUUGGCACAUACGCCUCAUUCAAAGUUUUCAUUAGGAUCUUCUGAUGUUCGGCGGAUUUCGUCACCAAUGACAAAAGUGACACUUUCUCAGGAUACUUCUUCAAUCGAUCCACUAUUUCAUAAUCAGACAUCUUCAUUUUCUGGAAGAAGGCCUCUACUUCCUCGACACAUAUUGGCUUCUUGGCUGGAAAACGCUUUCAGGUGGCACUAUUUACCUCUUAUGCUUUUGAAUACUUUUCAAUAGAGACUUUUCCUCGAAGUUCCCCUGAAAUACCCUUACCCUUGUAUGUAACCAAUGUCUGUUGAUAGUUCUAUGGCACCACAGAAUGGUCUGUCAUUGGCUUCUGUGGCACGCGUCCAAUAACCACUGGCUUAUUCAGCCGAGGCGAUUUAAUUGUCCCCCGUACCACAUAAGCUCCUUUUGGCACAAUCAUUGAUGUUCCUUUUUGUUACUUAAAACUUUCUCGGAGUGAUCACAACUAGUGAUUUCUAUUUGCAACCUCGUAAAACAUAAAGAAUCCCGUUUUUUGGAGGCACUAUCUCUUCUUUUGUUUUAGUUUUCUUCUUAGGCUCGGUUUUGACAGUCUUAUUCUUCUUCCCCCCGUUUCCUUCCUCGGGGCUGCCGUGGGCUUCUUUUCUGCAUCAGUGAUAGCAAUUAUGGCUUUCAGGGCUGGAUCAAAUUCAAUGCCUUCAUAAAUUAUCAUGAUUACCGGCUUAGGAGGGCCUGGGCAAACUCUGCACGGCCCUCACCUUCUUCGGAUCCACAUGAAUGCCCUCACUAGAUACCACGUGGCCUAAGAAUGCCACAAAACUGUACCAAAACUCACUUUUUGAGAACUUUGCAUAUAAUUUCUUUUCUCUUAGGGUCUGAAGCAUUGUCCUCAGGUGCUGCUCAUGAUCUUCCUGACUCUAGGAGUACACAAGAAUACCAUCUACGAAAAUAAUGAAAAACUAGUCGAGCUAGGGCCUGAAUAUACUGUGCAUCAAAUGCAUAAAAGCAUUUGGGGCAUUAGUCAGCCCAAAUGACAUGACAAGGAACUUGCAAUGACCAUACCGAGUCCUGAAAGAAGUCUUCGGGAUAUCCAGCCCCCAAAUCUUUAACUGGUGAUAACCUGAGCCCACAUUAAUCUUAGAAAGCACCUGUGCGGCCUAAAGCUUGUAAAAUACAUCAUUGAUACGAGGCAAAGGAUAUCACUUCAUCACUGUAACCUUGUUCAACUGACAAUAAUCAAUACACACGUGCAUAGAACCAUCCUUUUUCUUAACGAACAAGACAGAAGCACCCAUGGUGAAACACUGGGUCGAAUGAAACCUUUAUCAAGAAAUUCCUGUAACUGAUCCUUAAACUCAGAAGGAGCCAUACGGUACGGAGGAAUGGAUAUGGGCGGAGUCCCCGGCAUCAAAUCAAUACUAAAAUCAAUAUCCCGAUCGAGCAGCAUGCCCGGAAGAUCAGCUCAAAACUCAUCGAGGUAAUCCCGUACCACUGAGACAGAGUCAACAGAAGGGGUAUCAGCACUGACAUCUCUCAGAUAAGCAAAAUAUGCGGCACACCCCUUCUCAACUAUACGCUCAACUUUAAGAAAGAUAAUAACUCUACUGGGAGUGUGAUAAAAUGUACCACUCCACUCAAUACGCGGAAUACCGGGCAUAGCCCGCGUCAUGGUCUUGGCGUGACAAUCAAUAAUAGCAUACUGGGGCGACAACCGGUCCAUGCCCAAGGUAAUUUUGAAAUCAACCAUAUCAAGUAAUAAAAGAUCUGCCCUGGUCUCAAAUCCACAAAUAGUAACCAAACAUGACCGAUACGCAGUCCACAACAAGGGAAUCUCCCAUGGGAGUAGAUACACAAAUAGGAGAGCUCAAGGUAUCUCGGGCUAUACACAAAUGCAGAGCACAAUAAGAUGACACCUAAGAAUAGGUGCCUGGAUAGAAUAUUAUUGAUGCCUCUCUGUGACUAACCAAUAUAAUACUUGUGAUAACCGAAUCAGAGGCCAUAGCCUCACCACGAUAAGGAAAAUCAUAAUAUAUGCCCCGGCCCCUCCCUUGAGGGCGACCUCUAUCUCCCUAAUAUCCAUCCCUGGAUGGCUGGGCAGGUGGGGCAGAAGCUGGAGCUGGAACGAUAGCCUGCGAACCCUGUGGAGCAUGUUGAGGUAGUGGAGUCUGAGAAGGCACACCCCUUCAAAGUUUGGGGCACUCCUAAACCAUGUGGCGGGUAUCCCCGUACUCAAAAUAAGUUCUGGCAAGGCAUGAUGGCUGUGACUUAUUGGGCCUACCCCAGCUAGACUGACCUAUGGAAGUACCCCGCGCAGGAGGCAUACUAGAAAGCGGAGGUGCAUAUUAAGCUCAUGGGAUCUGGGAGGAGCUGGAGUACUGCUAGAUGAAGGAAGAGUUGAAUGAACAGGGCGACCACACAACCCCUACCGUGACGUCCUGCGGCUGAUGUACGAGUACCAUAGUAGUGACCCGACAGUUGAGACCUCUUGUCCUCUCUCUCUUCUAGCUCUCUGGUGUGUAUACCCUCGAUCCUCGUGGAUAUGAUCACUAACUACUGGUAGAGUAUAUCCAUCUCCAACUCUCGAGCCAUUCCAGACCUGAUGGGAGAAAUAAGAGCCUUAAUAAAUAGGAAAUCCCUCUCGCGAACAGUAGCCACCAAAGCAGGUGCAUAUCUUGCCAACCUAGUAUAAUGGAUGGCAUACUCAAAGACGGUCAUAGGGCCCUAGCGCAAAUGCUCAAACUCCGUGCACCAUGCAUCUCGAACGCAUUAGGGAACAAACUCCCUCUAAAACGUAUCUCAAAACUGAGUCUAAGUGAGGGAGGCAGACUUGUCCGGAGUGUCGAACUGAAAGGUGCACCACCAAUCAUAGGCGGCUCCCCGAAGAUGGAAAGUUGUGAAAGAAACCCCGCUAGAUAGGGAUAAUAUCUAGAAUAUAUCUCAUAUGCACCCUCUGCUCUGGUGUGCGGGCUACGGGACUCUGGCUUUCUCCCCCGGCCUAGGAUGUGGCCGCAUGAACGGGAAGCACCCCUGCCUGUGAAGCGUAGUAUACAUGCUCAUAAACUGUGCAUAUGCCUCUUAAACAGCUGGAGUAGUGGUGGAUGUGGGCGUGUCAGGUGCCUGAGCCCCCGCUAGAUCUACAGGCGGUACCUCGACGGCAGCUCGCACCGGUGCUCUGGUUGUACCACGCGCGUGUCAACGACCCCUGCCCCAGCCUCUGCCUCUAGCAGCUGCAAGAAGGGGUUCGGGUGCCUGGUCGUCCUAGGUCGUGCAUGUCCUCACCAUCUGUGAGAUAAUAGCAGACAUAGGUUUUGCGCCGCUGUCGAAAAUAUAUCACAAUAAAGAAUUUAAUGAAGUGAAGAUUUUUCCUAAACAGUUACAUUGCCUCCCGUAGAUAUGUACAGAUAUCUCCGUACCGAUCAACGAGACUCUAAUAUACCGACCUGUGUCCCGUGACUCCUAUGAACCUAGAGCUCUGAUACCAACUUGUCACGACACUAGUUCACCAAUUGGGAGCGUGUCAUGAUGGAACCUAGUCGUCACGACUAGGUAAGCCUAAAACAUUGCGGAAAUUAACAAUAUCUAUGAAAAAUAAUCAUAGAAAUUUAGAGAGUUGCCACAUGACACAUACACUUAGAUACAAAAAUGCUGAAAACAACUCCCAAGACUCGGAAUCCCAUGGGCAACACAGGAUAUAGAAGAACAUACGAUGCUCUAGUCACCCAAAAUAUUCUAAUACAUAGAAAAAUAGAAUAAUAACUAGCUAACAACAGGUAGAAUGCGAGGGAGACUCUUUGGAUCGGAAGAUGCGACAGAUGUAUAUCUCAAGUCUCUGAAUAAAGCUCCUGGAUCACUGAUAGUGCACCUGACCGGAAGUACCUGGAUCUGCACAUGAAAAACAUGCGCAGAAGACGCCUGAGUACACCAAAGCUGUACUCAGUGAGUGCCAAGCCUAACCUCGGUCGGGUAGUGACGAGGAAGGUCAGGGCCCUACUAAGGUAAAAUAUAAUAAUAAGGUUGAAAACAUUAUGAAUUAAGCAGAAAUAAGGAAAUACAACUAUGAAAUAAAUCAGAUUACACAACAGCAAUUAACCAGCAGAAAAUAAGAUAAUGCAGAGUAAACAACUCAAUACUUGUACCAAUAAUGGGGAUCUUCCACGAUAGCGUCCUGUAGUCCAUUUAAUACAAAUAUCCAAUACUGGGGGAAUCUACAUGCUGCAUUGCCAUAGUUCUAUAUAAUCGUGCAGGGGGGUCUCCGGGGAAUCAAACCCGUAGUGCCAAUUGAACAACAAGGGGGAACUCCCAGAAACCCACAUCUGUAGUCCCAAUUUAAAUGUGCAAUCAUAACAAAAUUUUACAGGAAAAAUCAAAUAUGGAACACCAACAAUUGGCUAUAAUAGCCUAGCAUGCUUCACGUAGUACAACUUAGGCAAAAUAAGAAAUUAAGCAAUUAAUUCUAUAUAAUCAUGCUUUUCUAACUAACACAGAUUAAAUCUUGCAUUGAAACCAGUAAAAAGAAAACGUAAAAACACAGUUUAGAUAAUUCAAGUAAAGUGGAUUUUUCAACAACUAGCACAAGUACAUGCUCGUUACCUCGCGCACAAGACAUUUAAAUCAGCAGAUAAGAAGUUCUAAGGGGAGAGGUCCCUCACACAAGGUUAGACAAGCCACUUACCUUGAACCACUGCAAAAAUCAAUAAGUAACAAUGCCCUUGCCACGAGUAUCUGACUAUGAGUGGCUAAAAUCUAUUCAAACCAAUUACAUAUUAUAAAUAACAUCGCAAGUAACUAACUCCACUAUUAAAAUUAAAGCUAAGGCACGAAAAGAUAUAAAAUGACCAAACUGCCCCUCACACCAACGUCUCGGAAUCGAAUAAUUUUUACAUUUUCAGAACCCUCAUACUUUCACAAGUCUACCCAUAUAAGAUUCAUCCUAAUCGGAGGUCAAAUGCCACCUCAAAAAUCAAUUGUUUGGUCAAUGAAGUUUCAUCCAAUUUUCCCAAAUUGGACCUUGAAUUAGAAUUUAAAUGAUGGAUUAAACUAAAAAAUGACGGAAUAUAACUAGAAAAGAUCGUAUAGAAGUUACCCAAUAGUCACCUCCUCAAAAUCCUCUCAAAAUCGCCCUUCCCUGAGCUCAAUUUGAUUUUCUUAACUUUUGAAAACUAACUCUCGAAUUUCUCUUAUAUAAACAGAGAUUUCCGCUUUUGCGGUCCAGGGAUAGCAUCUGCGGUCCCACAUAUGGGAACCACAAGCUACAUUUGUGACUCUUCAUUAAACCCCAAGCAUCCGCAUCUACGGUCACAGGAACAUCUUAUGCGGUUAUGCCUAUGAGGAUACCAAUCCGUUUCUGCGGUAUCUGCCCAAAUCCCAAUCUGCUUCUGUGAUUUCUUCAUCCGCUUCUACUGUUCCCAACCGCAGAAGUGAAAAUGAUAGGAGUCUGCUGCAAUUUUUCAUCCAACUCCCAAAACUUGCCCGUUGAGCAUCCGAAACACACCCGGGGCCCCCGCGACCCCAACCAAAAACACCAAUACUAUCUAACUCCUUAGUCUAACUUGUACAAAUCCUUAAACCCGCCAAACAACACUGAAACACGAUUAAAUCAACGAUUCAAGCCUAAGAACUUUAAGUUCAUCCAAAAAACACGCCUUAGAUCCAAAACCUAAUCAACACUUCUCUGAUUGACUCGAAACAUUGCACGCACGUCCCAAAUGACAUGACAGUGCUACAACAACUUUUGGAAUCCCGUUCCGAUCCCCGGAUCAAAAUUCACUAUCGGACCGGAAACUCUAAAUUCUAACUUUCAGCAUUUCUAGCCUAAAUAAGCUACGGACAUCCAAAAUACAUUCCGAAUAAGCUCCCAACCCCAGAAUUACCUAAUGGUGCUAAUAGAACCAUCAGAUUUCCAUUACAAGAUAUUCUUCACACUGUUCCAAUUACGAACCACUUUCCAACACUUAAGAUCUCAUUUAGGGACUAAGUGUCCCAAAAAUACUCUGAAUUCUAUCAUCGAACGUCCUGGCAAACCAAAAUAGCUAAAAUGAACUUUUGGAAAUAGUUAAUAGGAAAACGGGGAUAAAUUCUAAAGACGACCAGCCGGGUAAUCGCAAUUUGGAAGUGUGGACGGUCAAGAUUAGUUGAUGCAAAAAACGGCAUUGUUUUGUAACCUUGGGAUUUGGAUCGGGUUAGGGAAUGCGUUUGGGUCGUUAAGGGUCAAAUUAUGGAGGGUUGAUUAGGCUUGAAUUCUGUAACUCAAAAAUUAGAUGGCCUGGAUAAUUUUUCAUUUGUUUUUCUUUUCCUUUUUUUCUUUUGUAUUCUUAUUUAUUUAUUUAUUCAUUCAUUUCAUUGCAAAAUUAACGAAACCUAACAUAACUCCAAAAUUAGACCAAUUAAUUUUCUAAAAUAGAAUAAAUCCUAGAUAAAGAGGAAACUAGAAAAAAAAUGCAAAAAUGCAAAAAGUGACCAUUUUUUGUACUUUUGUUCUAUUUUUGUGAUAUUAGUUAAAAAAAUCUAGAAUUGGAUCCUAAAUUCAUGUAUGAUAUUUUUGUAUUUUUCAUGAGUUAUGUCAAUUAAAAAAUGCACCAAAUCCAAGCAAUCACCAAGCCAUGCAAUUAGUUUCCUAUAAUUUAAAUAAUAAAACAAAAAUGAUGAUUUUAAUGAAUUUAUAGAAGUAAUUUAAGCGUGGAAAAAAUCACGUGCUCACAUUAAGUUUUAUGUGCUAGGUUGGAUUGUGCAAUUUUAGUUGCAUUGAAUUAUUGGACCUAUAUGAAACAGGGCGACGUAGGAUCACCCCCAGGUAUAUUCAUGCUAAUGUUAUUUAGCUAUUGGUUGGAUUUUGGAACAACCCUGGGCAUGUUCGAGGAUGAAGGUAUGUUUAAGUGGGGGAGGAUGUAACGACUCGACCGGUCUUUUUGAGCUUUUGCACAAUUCUCGCCAGCUCUAUGGCAUGACUUGCCCCGUGUGAUGUAUUAUGACUUAUGUAAAUCAUUGGUUUAUGAUUUUCAUGAAAAUCGGAAUGAAUUUAGAAGAAUAGUUCUCAAUUUUUAGCUUGAAAUUUAAAAGGUUUGAUCGAGAUUUGACUUGUUUGUAUAUGAUAUUGGAUCAGAAUUUUUAUAAUUGGAUUAGUUCCUUUAGGUGAUUUGGGACUUAGGAGCGUGAUUGGAAUGUAUUUUGGAAGUCCGUGGAGGGUUUAGGCUUGAAUUGGCGAAAAUGAGAUUUCAGUUUUUCCGGUUGAUGGGUGAGAUUUUGAUAUAGAGGUCGGAACGAAAUUUCAUAAGUUGCAAUAGUAUUUUUGUGUCAAUUGGGAUGUUUGUGCAAAAUUUAAGGUCAUUCGGACAUGGGUUGGCUGGAUUUUUUUAUCAAAUGCGAAAUUCGGAAGAUUUUUGAAUCUUAGACUUGAAUCUGAUGUGCGUUACUUGAUUAGCUAUUUUUUAGGUGUUUUGAAUAUUGGUACAAGUUCGAAUAAGGUUAUGGUUUAUGUUUGUGCUUUUGGUUAAGGUUCCGGUGGACCUCAGUGUGAUUUCUAAUGGUUGGCGGAGAGUAUGGAAUUUUCAAGAAGUUGUAGAUUUUCCGCUUCUAGUAUUUUUGCACCUUUGGAUUGGGGAGUGCAGGUGCAAUGCCGUAUAUGCAGAGUAUUGGUUGUAGAAGCAAAAGCUGGUGAGGUUGGAAGGAAUCGCAAAAGCGCUUGUGGGACCGCAUCUGCGAAGGCACAUGUGCGGAUAUAUCAUCGCAAAUGCGAUUUGGAGAAGUUUAAGUGAAGAACCGUAGAAUCGACUUUUGGACCGCAAAAGAGGUACUGCAGAUGAGAUGCAUUGACCGCAUAUGCAAAAAUACAUGGUUCAGAAUGCAUAUAUUUUGCCCUUCACGAUUUUGAGAGGGUUUCACCAUAUUUAAUCCGGGAGAUAGCUUGGGAUAGCCAAUUGAAGAGGGAAUUCAAAAGGAUUUCAUGGAAAUAAGAUUUUUGGACCCUAAACUUGUUUCUAUAUGAAAUUUUAACAUUUGUAAGCAUGAAAUCCAUGGAAAAUCAGUAGGGAAAAGGGGUAAUUAGGGCUUGAGAUUAAGAGACCUUUGAGUGGUGAUUUGAGAAGCCAUUUGAGGUCCGAUUUUUAUAUUCUUGAUACGUAUGAUCUCGUGGGAGGAUGAGGAUUCCAUUGAUAAUAAUUUGAUCGGAUUCAGAGACAUGGGCCUAGGGAUCGGGUUUGAGAAAUUUAGGGAUUUUUGAUAUAAAUUGGAUAUUUUCGUGUGGGCUUUGCUCCUUUAGCAUAUUUUAAUGAUGAUGUACUGAUGUGGCUAGAUUCGGAGCGUCCAAAGGUCGCUUCAGGUGAGAAAAGGCAUCGCGGGCUAGAGUAUUGAUCGGAUCAAGGUGAGGAAUGAUUGUAAAUAUUGUCCUGAGGGUAUGAAACCCGGGACUGCACAUCGAUGUGCUAUAUUGUGGUGACGCACACGCUGGAUGACGAGCGUGAGGUCAUGCACUAUUGGAGAUUGCGAACUAGUCCAUCUCGAAUGACUGUUUUACUGUGUUUUUGAUUGAAAAUUAUUUUCUAUCAUCAUGUUUUAGGCUGAAUGCAUUUUUGGGCCUCGUUCUAGCUAUUUGAAACCUUCGUCGGA
rnacentral:lncRNA from 1 species